rnacentral:rRNA from 1 species
AUGAUGGAGAGCUUGCUCUCCUGAUUAGUGGCGCACGGGUGAGUAUACCAUAGAUAAUGUACCUCUUAGUUCGGGAUAGCCACUGGAAACGGUGAUUAAUACCGGAUACUCCUUCUUGUCUCAAGGCAAGUCGGGAAAGUUUUUUCGCUAAGAGAUCAGUCUAUGUCCUAUCAGCUAGUUGGUGAGGUAAUGGCUCACCAAGGCUAUGACGGGUAUCUGGUUUGAGAGGAUGAUCAGACACACUGGAACUGAGACACGGUCCAGACUCCUACGGGAGGCAGCAGUGAGGAAUAUUGCACAAUGGAGGAAACUCUGAUGCAGCAACGCCGCGUGGAGGAUGACGCAUUUCGGUGUGUAAACUCCUUUUAAGAGGGAAGAUAAUGACGGUACCUCUUGAAUAAGCACCGGCUAACUCCGUGCCAGCAGCCGCGGUAAUACGGAGGGUGCAAGCGUUACUCGGAAUCACUGGGCGUAAAGGGUGCGUAGGCUGGCUUUUAAGUCAGAUGUGAAAUCCAAUGGCUUAACCAUUGAACUGCAUUUGAAACUGGGAGCCUAGAGUUCAGAAGGGGCAGAUGGAAUUAGUGGUGUAGGGGGUAAAAUCCGUAGAUAU